AAGGAAAAGGAACCUGUACGUUAGUCUUCUUUAAUUUUGAGAGGUUUUGAACUAAGUAAUGAGAACGUUAAAAAAUGCGUAUGAAAAUAGGAAACUGACGUAGUGUGUUCMAUACACAAGGAAGUUUAUCUUUUUCACUAGGAUUUUAGUUCGAAUACAAUUUGACUUCUCAAAAGUCCCUUAAUAUUAUUUAACAAUACAGUAAACACGUAAUUAUACGUGGGGCCUUAGCUCAGCUGGGAGAGCGCCUGCUUUGCACGCAGGAGGUCAGCGGUUCGAUCCCGCUAGGCUCCAUUAGGAUAGAAAUCCUACUAAACUGAAUAACAGUGAAGUUGAAUUCACGACUAACUUCUUAGGAAAAAAGAUCAUCUUCCUUGUGUGCAAGACACACAUCGUCAGAUUCCUAAUUUUCUACAGAAGUUUCGCAGAAGCGACCGUCGUUCAUAUCCUAAACUUGUCCAUUGAAAAUUGAAUAUCUAUCAAACAAUCCUUAUGUAUUUGAAAAGAUACAUAAAGAAAUAGUAACAAGAAAAUAAACCGAAAACGCUGUGAAUAUUUAAUGAGUUUUCUAAUUUUUGAAAAAAUUAGGUUAAAACAAGUUACGAAGACGUUAAGUAAAACGUAUGAUUUUAGGAAAUCAUCGCAGUAGUCUAAGGACUACAAGAGGAUUUAUCUAAAUCACUAGUUUUCUAGUCCGAGUACGAUUAU
rnacentral:tRNA from 1 species